rnacentral:tRNA from 1 species
UCCGCGCUGGUGUAAUGGCUAACAUCGCUGUCUUUCAUAUUGAAAGGUGCACAGCAGCUCGGGGUUCGAUUCCCCGGCGCGGAA